GAUGAACGCUGGCGGCGUGCCUAAUACAUGCAAGUCGAGCGAACAGACGAGGAGCUUGCUCCUCUGACGUUAGCGGCGGACGGGUGAGUAACACGUGGAUAACCUACCUAUAGGACUGGGAUAACUUCGGGAAACCGGAGCUAAUACCGGAUAAUAUAUUGAACCGCAUGGUUCAAUAGUGAAAGACGGUUUUGCUGUCACUUAUAGAUGGAUCCGCGCCGCAUUAGCUAGUUGGUAAGGUAACGGCUUACCAAGGCGACGAUGCGUAGCCGACCUGAGAGGGUGAUCGGCCACACUGGAACUGAGACACGGUCCAGACUCCUACGGGAGGCAGCAGUAGGGAAUCUUCCGCAAUGGGCGAAAGCCUGACGGAGCAACGCCGCGUGAGUGAUGAAGGUCUUCGGAUCGUAAAACUCUGUUAUUAGGGAAGAACAAAUGUGUAAGUAACUAUGCACGUCUUGACGGUACCUAAUCAGAAAGCCACGGCUAACUACGUG
rnacentral:rRNA from 1 species